UACAGAGGCCUCAAGCGUUGUUCGGAAUCACUGGGCGUAAAGGGUGCGUAGGCGGCGCGGAAAGUCAGGGGGUGAAAUCCCGGAGCUCAACUCCGGAACUGCCUUUGAUACUCCCCGCGCUUGAGAACUGGAGGGGGACAUCGGAAUUCACGGUGGAGCAGUGAAAAUGCGUGGAUAUCGUGAGGAACACUAGUGGCGAAGGCGGAUGUCUGGACAGUAUCUGACGCUGAGGCACGAAAGGCCAGGGGGAGCGAACGGGG
rnacentral:rRNA from 1 species